rnacentral:lncRNA from 1 species
CCGGGGCAGUAGAGGUCCUGAAAGCUGCUGUGCGACGCGGUCCUCGGACCUGGCCACCUGCCUCGCCCCGGCCGGGCCUGGCCUGCACUGGCCCGCACCGGCCCGCACCGGUCAGCACCGCCUCGCACCGGUCAGUACCGCCUCUCCGCUGUCCGCUCCUGCGCAGCCGUCCGCAGUUCCGCAUGCCACCGCCAGGUGUCGCUGCACACACGCCGUGGCCCCGAGGCUCCUCUGCAAGCCGCUCCGCGAGGCUCUAGGGGGCCCCCCAGGGUCCUGUUUCCCGCGGCCCGCAACUUAUCUGUGCACAGAGCACCCCCACGCUGCGCUAGGAACUUCCGCUGCUCCCCCACCACCUCACUCCUUCGUGCCUUUGAGCAUGCUGCCUGCAGUGCCUGCCCUGAUCUCCGGCUGGGUGAUUCCUGCUGCACGUCAAAACCCACUGGAGGCAACACCUCCUCCAGGAAGCCUUCCCUGAUGCCACUAUAAUGGCCCCUCUUGAGUUUCCACAGCCCCCUGUGUCUGCCUCAUCAUUGCAGUGAC